AGCGAACGCUAGCGGCAUGCUUAACACAUGCAAGUCGCACGGGCAGUAGCAAUACUGUCAGUGGCGGACGGGUGAGUAACGCGUAGGAAUCUAUCCUUGAAUGGGGGACAACCGUGGGAAACUACGGCUAAUACCGCAUGAUGCCUGAGGGCCAAAGACGAAAGUCGUUUGAGGAGGAGCCUGCGUCUGAUUAGGUAGUUGGUGGGGUAAAGGCCUACCAAGCCCUACGAUCAGUAGCUGGUCUGAGAGGAUGAUCAGCCACAUUGGGACUGAGACACGGCCCAAACUCCUACGGGAGGCAGCAGUGGGGAAUAUUGGACAAUGGGCGCAAGCCUGAUCCAGCAAUGCCGCGUGGGUGAAGAAGGUCUUCGGAUUGUAAAGCCCUUUUGGCGGGGACGAUGAUGACGGCACCCGCAGAAUAAGCUCCGGCUAACUUCGUG
rnacentral:rRNA from 1 species